GAUGAACGCUAGCGGCAGGCUUAAUACAUGCAAGUCGAGGGGCAGCACAGGUAGCAAUACUGGGUGGCGACCGGCAAACGGGUGCGGAACACGUACACAACCUUCCUUAAGGUGUGGGAUAGCCCAGAGAAAUUUGGAUUAAUACCACAUAGCAUAUUGGGUUGGCAUCAGCCUGAUAUUAAAGAUUUAUUGCCUUAAGAUGGGUGUGCGUAUGAUUAGGUAGUUGGUUGGGGUAACGGCCCACCAAGCCAUCGAUCAUUAACUGGUGUGAGAGCACGACCAGUCACACGGGCACUGAGACACGGGCCCGACUCCUACGGGAGGCAGCGGUAAGGAAUAUUGGUCAAUGGACGAAAGUCUGAACCAGCCAUGCCGCGUGAAGGAUGAAGGUCCUCUGGAUUGUAAACUUCUUUUAUAGGGGGCGAAAAAAGGGAAUUUUUUCCCGUCUGACGGUACCCUAUGAAUAAGCACCGGCUAACUCCGUGCCAGCCGCCGCCGUAAAAC
rnacentral:rRNA from 1 species